rnacentral:rRNA from 1 species
UACCAGCACCCCGAGUGGUCGGGACGUUUAUUGGGCCUAAAGCAUCCGUAGCCGGUUCUACAAGUCUUCCGUUAAAUCCAACUGCUUAACAGGUGGGCUGCGGAAGAUACUAUAGAGCUAGGAGGCGGGAGAGGCAAGCGGUACUCGAUGGGUAGGGGUAAAAUCCGUUGAUCCAUUGAAGACCACCAGUGGCGAAGGCGGCUUGCCAGAACGCGCUCGACGGUGAGGGAUGAAAGCUGGGGAG